ACGCGUCUGGUAGGCGGAGCGGCAGGAUGACGUCAUCUGUGGGCGUCUGAACGCCGGAUCCACGCCGGAGCUCACAGCACAUGGGGAAGGGAUAUAAGAUAUUACUCUAAAGACGAAAAUAAUGAGGAUCGGAGACCAGCCGGAAUCACUGGUACGCCAGAGAAGCAGCACAUCCAGGCCACAGCCAACCCUGCCUAGAGCUGAUGAUGGUGGGAAUGCUGGUUCUUCGUCUGUUCCGCGGCCACUAAGGCGCCAAUCACAGGCCAGCGUUACUGUGGCUACAAGGCCACCCAAGAGGCCCCAUGUACAGGCUCCUGCUGCUGCUCCUGCACCAGCAUCACCCCCCCAAAGGUGCAUCUCUGCAGUGGCUUCCGUGCCACCACUGGCACUUUUGGCAAGCCCCCAAAGUGUAGAUCCGCAAUCCCCAUAGG